GACGGGGGGGGCAAGUGUUCUUCGGAAUGACUGGGCGUAAAGGGCACGUAGGCGGUGAAUCGGGUUGAAAGUGAAAGUCGCCAAAAAGUGGCGGAAUGCUCUCGAAACCAAUUCACUUGAGUGAGACAGAGGAGAGUGGAAUUUCGUGUGUAGGGGUGAAAUCCGUAAAUAUACGAAGGAACGCCAAAAGCGAAGGCAGCUCUCUGGGUCCCUACCGACGCUGGGGUGCGAAAGCGUGAGGAGCAAACAGG
rnacentral:rRNA from 1 species